GUGCCUAACACAUGCAAGUCGAGCGAGAAAAGGGGGCAACUCCCUGAGUACAGCGGCGCACGGGUGAGUAACACGUGGGUAAUCUGCCCUGGAGUGGGGAAUAACACCGGGAAACCGGUGCUAAUACCGCAUACGAUCACGAUGUCUGCGGACGUUGUGAUGAAAGGAGCAAUUCGCUCCAGGAGGAGCCCGCGGCUGAUUAGCUAGUUGGUGAGGUAAUGGCUCACCAAGGCUACGAUCAGUAUCCGGUCUGAGAGGACGGUCGGACACACUGGAACUGAGACACGGUCCAG
rnacentral:rRNA from 1 species